AACCUGGGACCCUUUAGUUCACAGGCCAAUGCUCUAUCCACUGAGUCAAGCCAGCUAGGGCCAAAGUUUUAGGUUUUUUUAAGAAUCCAUCAGUGGCUUCCCAAGGGUCCAUUUCACCUAAAAUAAAAUCCAAAUAAAUUUUAUGUCAGUGCCCUGCCCAAACACCCUCAGCUCAUUCCCGCCCCCAUCUGCUUCUUUAUUGGACAAGUCCUGUGUGCACCAAUGGCUUCCUCUCCCGGGCACCAGGGUCUCUGCCAGAGGGCCUCUCUCCAGCCACAGGGACAUAAGGGCAGGAUGAAUGUGCACAGAGGUCAAUGUCCCUAUGAACAACCUUCGACUGAUGAGUGACAAGACUCGGUGGAGAAACACCCCAGUUUCCUUGGCGCCUGGUGAGAGAAUUCGGAGUUGAGAUUAUGCUCAGACACAAGCACUGGAAAGAAGACACAGAACACUGAUAUAAAGGAGAGAAAAAACAAAAGCCGUCUCUGAGUUUGCAUUACCUUGAAUGUCCACAGCCUCCUGUUGCCUUUCUAGGAAGGCCCCCCAGCCUGUUGCUGGGAUUUUACAGCCAGCUGGGGAACUCGCUGGUAAACCCUGGACAGAAACAGGAACUCUACAAGAAGGGAAACCAAGUUCCAUCCAAAAAUGAAACCACCACCGAUCAUAGGAGAUGCCCAUGUCAACACCCGGCCCACGGACAGGGAAGCAAAUAUAUUGAUGAUCUGGUCCAGCUGCCAGACUGCCUCAUUCAUCCCUGUAUGUGAGAGGAAGGAAACAUUGCGAGCCAUUGGGUUGCCAUCCUUCCUCCUGGGAAAAAAUGCCGUGCACUUACUGGCUUUGCGACCCAUGUACUGGGUGAACGAUGGUGGAAACGAGAAAGGUUCUCCUUUCAGUCUAACUAUAGAUUAGUCAGUCAUAGGAUUUUCAACCUGGAAAAGGCCUUCAGGAUCAGUUGUGGGAAUCUGAACAAUUAAAAAUGGGUAAACUGAGGAUUGGAGACACUAGGUUUUGUGGAGCUAAUUAUUUCAACUCCUGUCUCAGCACUCUUUCCUAUCACACUGUACUGUCUUAACAACGACAAUAAUAUCAAUAGACAUUAUUAUGACCAGCAUGUUGACAGAAUGGAGAUAAAGGACAGAAUUGGCUGAAUACUUACUCUGCCAGGCACAGAGUUCUAAGCCUCCUACAUAUAUUUGUCCCACUUAAUCCUCACAACUCUCAGAAGUUGAUGGUAUCUCCCUUUUACAGGUUAGGAAAUUGAGGCACAAAGAGAUGAAGUUAUUUGCUUAAGGUCACAGAGACGGGAAAAGGAGAAGCUGAGAUUUCAACCCAGGCAGUCUGACUCCAAAGCUUUUGCUCUUAACUCUUCUACCAUCAUUGAAGAAUAUAUUUACAAGAUCAUUUUUAAAAUUAUAAUGAACCUCAAGCAGGAAUCUGUGCUUUAUUUUAGACUUCUUUAAGAUGAAUUAUCAGAGACUAGAAAGAUUUUCUUUUCCCCAGAAACCGAGGACACUUUCAACGCCGCGUCACCCGGCUCUUACCACAGAGCUGUUUAUUUUGGAUGGUGUUAUUUAAGCCACACGACAGCCAAAGAAGUGCAAUUUAAAAGAAAGCAUGAUUAUAAGGGGCUUUGGAAGAAGUAUAUUUUAAUAGACUCCCCCACAAUAGCUUCCUUUAUCUUGGCUCUCAACGCUCACGAACACUUUCUAGCUGAGGGGACCAACUGCACAAAUGCAGGGUAGACCACAAGCUCCAGCUUUAAGUUGGCAAUUUGAACACAUUGCAGCGUGAAAGAUCCAAGUUUCAUAAACGAAGGAAAAAGAAAGAAGAUCCAAGUUUCAUAAACGAAGGAAAAAGAAAGAAGAUGCCAGAUUCUUCCAUUUAGCUCCAUUACUGAAAAAAAUUCUGCCUCUCACUGUCACAUAAGUGAAGAUCAACCGUCACAUUUGGGGUUGAAUUUGGGGAUGGGGGAUGUGGAAGCGUAUCACUGGCCAGAAUUUGAAAAUGCUGUUAGUGCACUGCUUUUCUAGCUCUAAAAUGGCCAAGGAACUUCUCUGAUGUAUUUUGAGGGGCUUUGUUCCUCAAAGUACCAUUUAUAUAUCCCUUUGAUAACAACAAUAUCAUCCCUUUCUUAAGUGCUUCCUGUGAGCAAAUAUAGUGCCAGGGGCUUUACCAACCCCAAGCUGGGCUGGCGGAAGGGGGAAGGGAGUGGUCAUUAUUCCUCCCACUGUAUAGAUGAGAAAAGUGAAGUCUGGACAAGUUAAGUGACUCGCAGCUGGUACGAGCCAUAGCUGGUUUUAGCUGGAUUCAAAUCUAGGCCUGUUGGACUCCAAGUGCCCUCUCUUCUAGGCUACUUCGCUGCCUCUCUCAGAGACCUGAUUGGCUGGCUCAUCAACCGUGUUCCCUGAGCCAGGCCUACUUCUUGGCCCCGAGGACCCGUGAUGCCCAGGGCGGCACAGCUCACCAGCCAGCUGGCCUCUGUUGUCAGCUGUGAGGCUCACAAUCCAGCCCCGCUGGAUGGCGAUGGUCAGCACUGCCGGCCCGGUUUGCCAGAGCUGCCAGGGUACUUCCUCGGCCCAUGUGGUACAUAUAGUUACUUAUCUGACAGCCCGAGGGCGAGCUAAACGAACACAAAAACCUUUGAGAGAAAGAGGUUCAAUGUAGGUUUGGAGCCCAGCGUUAUUGUGUUGAUUCUAAGCGUUUUCUUCUUCCCACCCCGUCGGCACCAGAUCCGAUGCUAAUUUGCACUUUGCAGACAGAGACUUUGCUGUUCUAUUGACUUCAUGUCUGUGGAAUUUGGGCUCUGAUUCACAAAUUAGGGGUGAGGAGAACAGUGGCAAAGACUAGCCAGAUCCAAAACCAGUGAGCAAGGCUGUGCAGAGCUGACUCACUGACGGGCACUCAGGCCUCACCUCCGACAUCCACUCUGGUGGAGCAAGGGGGAUGUGGGGACACUCACAGCGAACCAGAAGCAGCCGUGCCAGGUCUGCGUCAUCUCCCCUCUGUAGGAGAAUACCAGCAUCAGCACAACACAGCCAGCGGCUACGGAGGCAUUCAGAGUGAAGAGCGAGGCAUGAGCAACUGCAGAUGGAAACACUAUUUACUCUUGGUUUUCAGAUUCAGGUUGCAGCCACCUCAUUGUUUGAUGCAGAGUAACUGCAUUGGCCCAAAUUGCUGUGCCAACCGUGGUCUUGCUAUCAGCAACUGCGGGCUUGUGCAGGAGGCACAGUGCAGGCUCAUGGGCUCACUGGAGGCAAAGUCUUUGCAACGAAAACAGGAGAAAAAACUGGGCUUUGCAAGUAAACAAAAACAGACUUUGAGAGAAAGACGACACGGAAAGCAGGAUACCAGAAAAGUGAAAGGACUUAAAAUUUCCUACUGCUAUAUCACACGCUUCUCGAGUUGAUCUGUGAUUGAAGUUCUCAAUACGGCCUAAGAACCAAUACUCCAGAGUCUAAGUCAGUUAGCCUUCUGAAGAGUGUGGCUCCAGAGAAUGCCUUUCCAAGCCUUCUCGGUGGACAGAGAACAAUCAGGUUGACUAGUCAUCAGAAGAGAAGGGAAAACGUGGGAAAUUUUACAUUCUCACUGGAGAAAGGAGGGUUUCAAAGAUAGUAGAGCCAAGAGCUAAAAGGAGAUCUGCAUUUGAACAAAUAAGUCUCCAGAUGUUAAUCCCUAGUCUAGACAGAUUACUUGGUACAAAGAUAUCUCUGACACCUAGAAAUUGCCUUUAAGAAAAAUGACACGAGUAUCUUGUACAUAGGUAAUACCAGAAUUCUUUUAAAAUAAGGAAUUUGAUAUUAAAAAUCUGUGAUGGGAAAGAACCUACACACUACAUUAAAAUAUUUAAAAUGUAGUACCAGAGUGCUCGCUUCAGCAGCACAUACACUAACAUUGGAACAAUACAGAGAAGAUUAGCAUGGCCCCUGUGCAAGGAUGACACGCAAAUUCAUAAAGUGUUCCAUAUUUUAAACAAAUAAAAAUAAUAUGUAGUACCAGAGAGUGACACGAAGCUGAAUAAGUCUAUUUCCAGUUUUUAAAAGCUGUACUCUGUUGCUCUUAUGUUCAGAUCUGUAUUUCAUUUCACUAAAUAAACCAAAAGAGCAAGUGAGAUCAUAAUUCACCGCAUUGUUGUAUAUGCCAUAGGUAAGAGUAUUACCUCUAUUUCUUGGUUUCCUGUCAAUCCAAUCACCAAUUAAGACCCCAAAUAUUAGUAAAGAUCCAGCCACCACCAGGCCAAACCAUGCUGGGAGGAGAACACUGUGUCCAUAUGAUUCUGUCAGGGACACAGACAUGGCAAAGUGCCACGUCCGGUCUUCCUGCAAGGCGGCAGAAGCAAAGCAUGUGUUAGUCAUUGACCUAAAAAAGAGGAACAAAGUUAAAAACCAGAAAGAUGCAUUUCACCCAAAGGACAUGUAAUGGGCAGGACUUAAAGCCAGAACACCAAAAUUAUACUUUCAUGUAGUGCAGCUGUAACAUUUUUAAAUAUAAUAUAAUGUACUUAUACUUUUAUAAGCUGGACAGAAUAUAUUUAAAAUCUUGUAAGCAUCAAAGAGCCAAUAAGCCCGUGAGAAAAUGUCAGAUGAAUACUUGUGAGACCACGAGAACCCCACGAAGUCAGCCCAAGUUACCUGGGAUACCUGCCGAUUCAGAAGAAACAGCAAUGAAACUAAACUGCAGUUUGGUGGCCUCAGAAAGUCAGACACUAGAAGUCCAUGCCCACCAAAAAUGGGGGCAGAGAUAGAGCAGUGUCCGCUUUAAGCUGAGAUCCCAUAUAAGUCCACCCUCCUGGUAUGUAAGGGUAAACUUCAGGUGAGCCACCCUCACCUGGACUUGUAGUCCAGCUUUCCCUCAGCUAGAUGGGCCAGGAAAUCUCAAGCUUUGAACUUGGAUUAAACUGGUCCCAAUGGCCAGUGCCCACUAUGCGUGCAUCUGGUAGAAGAAGCCAGUUGAGAUCCCCUCUAAAGGAAAUUACAAUAGUCUUAGGUUUCAAAGUUCUCCUAUAAUGAUUUGAAAAUACAAUGCCCACCACACAAAGAUAACCAGUCAUACAAGGAAACGAAGCACCAUGCGUAAGAUCUAUAAUAAAUAACAGACAAUAGAGCAGACCUAGUGAGGUGUCAGAUAUUUCGAUGAUCAGUCACGGCCUGUAAAACAAUAGUGCUUACUAGAUUUAAGGAAACAAAUGCCAAGUCUGGCCAUCUGAGCAGGGAAUUGGAAAUUAUACAAAGUGAUGUAGGCAGUUUAAAAGAGAAUUAAAUAAAAAUUCUAGGACUGAAAAAUAAAGCAAUAGAAGUCAAAAUUUAAAAUUCCAUUGAUAAGUUCAAUAGAGAUUAUAACUGAAGAAAUAUCAGUUACCUAUAGAUAUGUCUAAAAAAAAAAA